UCCAGUCAUGACUAUGAACUCACAGAGACUGUGACAGCAUGCAUAGGAGCUGUACAAAACCCCAGCACAGAGAAGGGGAAGUGGGCACAAAGCCCACCUCUAGCCCAGAAGCUAUGUGUGUGAUCGUUAUGGUGGCCUCCCAUGGAGUAUUAUGGGGUCUAUCAACUACACUCAUGGCAGGCCAACACGAUGAGCUUCUUGUUUGGAUAUCCUUGUUCUCUUAUCUCUUGAGUUUUUGAGAACCAAGACUCAUGGUGUAGAAGAAAAGAGACGUGGCUAUAAAGGAGGCUAAAUAAAAGUCCUACCGUCAGGAAACUGAAUCAAACACGGCAGCGUAAACUUCAGAGUUCAAAAUAUGAGUCCUGGCUUCUGCCCCUGCCACCAUGCCAUUACUCUACCAUCAUGGACUCUAACCUGUUGAACCUAUAAGCCUAAAUAAACUUUUUUAAAGUUGC